rnacentral:rRNA from 1 species
AUGAACCGGCGGCCGGAGCUCUGCAGGAACUACCAGCGCGGCAGCUGCAAGUACGGGGCGCAGUGCAGGUUCGUGCACUCCAACUCCAACCAACAGCAGCAGCAGCAGGCGAAGCCCAACCCCUUCGGGUUCGGCGCCGGGGGCAGGCAGCAGCCGCAGCAGCAGUCGUUCGGUGCGCAGUCCCAGCAGCAGCAGCAGCAGCAGCAGAAGCCCAACCCGUUCGGGUUCGGAGUGCAAGGCGGUGCCGCCCAGCAGCGGAACGAGCCUGGCCCGGCAAAGCCUUUUCAAAAUAAGUGGGUGAGGGAUCCCUCGGCGCCGCCGACAAAGCAAGCGGAGGCGCAGCCAGCACCGCAGGCGGCCCACACAUCCUGUGCAGACCCCGAGUCCUGCAGGCAACAGAUAUCUGAUGAUUUCAAGAAUGAGGCUCCCCUGUGGAAGCUUACUUGUUAUGCUCAUCUCAGAAGUGGUCCUUGUGACAUUACGGGGGAUAUUAGCUACGAGGAGCUGAGAGCUAAAGCAUACGAAGAGGGCAAACAAGGGAAGCCUAUGCAGUCAAUAGUUGAAGGAGAAAGGAAUCUACAAAAUGCAAAGUUGGCGGAGUUCACUAAUUUGCUGAACAAGGCACGUGCAACACCAAGCUUUCCUACUGCAGGCUCCUUCCCAGAAGUGAAAAAUAACUCAACCUUUGGGAGUUCUCAAACUAAUGGACCACCUGUGUUUAGUAGUUUCAAUCAACUUGGAGCAGCAACAAAUUUCGGAUCUGGGCCAAGAACUGCCACACCAGGAGUUCCAAUGAAUACCAUUUUCGGUCAGCCUACACAGUCUACUCCAUCGUUUGGUGCCCCUGCUUUUGGCAGUACUGGAAUGAGAUUUGGAGUUCCAGUUGGGAGCCAGACAUCAAAGCAAUCAUUUGGGAGUUACCAAGGCUCGAGCAUGUCCAGCAACAGCAAUUUUCAGAACUCUACUUCGUCUGGCCAUCACAGAGACAUUGAUAAGCAGUCAGUGGAGUUACUUAAUGGGAUGACACCUCGUACAAGUGCCAUGGACCAGGCAGCUGUUGAAGCCAGUAGAAACGAAAAGCAGGAUGAUAGCAUUUGGCUGAAGGAAAAAUGGGAAAUUGGACAGAUACCGCUGGAUGAACCGCCAGCGAGGCAUGUUAGCCAUGUAUUUUAA